GGCUGGUCCGAUGGCAGUGGGUUAUCAGAACUUACUAACAUUAGUGUCACUAAAGUUGGUAUACCACCCCCCCCACUGCUAAAUUUGACUGACUUAAA
ensembl:misc_RNA Y_RNA Y RNA